rnacentral:lncRNA from 13 species
CCCAGUUCAUCCCAGUUCACACCAGUUCAGCCCAGUGCCCCCAAAGUGCCGCCCCACUUCUCGUCAUCGCCCGCGGCCGCUGCGCACCAGUAUAAACCAGUUGGGACCAGUACGGACCGGUGAGCCUCAGAGAGCCUCCCCAGUUCAUCCCAGUUCAUCCCAGUUCAUCCCAGUUCACACCAGUUCAGACCAGUUCAUCCCCAGUUCAAACCAGUUCAAACCAGUUCAUCCCAGUGCCCUCAAAGUGAACCCACACUGAAUCCCAGUUCAUCCCAGUUCACACCAGUUCAAACCAGUUCAAACCAGUUCAUC